GAUGAACGCUGGCGGCGUGCCUAAUACAUGCAAGUCGAGCGAACAGACGAGGAGCUUGCUCCUCUGACGUUAGCGGCGGACGGGUGAGUAACACGUGGAUAACCUACCUAUAAGACUGGGAUAACUUCGGGAAACCGGAGCUAAUACCGGAUAAUAUAUUGAACCGCAUGGUUCAAUAGUGAAAGACGGUUUUGCUGUCACUUAUAGAUGGAUCCGCGCGGCAUUAGCUAGUUGGUAAGGUAACGGCUUACCAAGGCGACGAUGCGUAGCCGACCUGAGAGGGUGACGGGCAACACGGGAAUUGAGCCACGGUCAAGCUCCCAACGGGGGGCAGAGUAAGGGAUUCUUCGGAAAGGGGCGAAAGCCUGACGAGGCAACGCGGCGGGGGUGAUGAAGUUCUCCGGUUCGUAAACCCUUGUUAUUGGGGAAGAACAAAUGUGUAAGUAACGUUGCCAGUUUGGCCGGAACCAAACAAGAAGGCCAGGGCAAACUACGG
rnacentral:rRNA from 1 species